GCUGGUCGUGGCACACUCUUUGUUGUCUUCAAUAUCUCAUCGUUCACUGUUUUAUCCAAGUCCCUAACCAUUUCCUGAAGCUUUGUGAAUGUUUCCUCCUCCGUGACUUUGUGUUGCUUCAUAUAGUACAUGAUGGCAUUAACAUCAUACCCUCUGCUCAUGUCACUCUGUUAGGAACUCAUCAAAUGUAGGCACCACGUCUCCUUUUUCCCAGUUGGUAAAGCUAAAGAGGGAUCUCAAGUAUAUCUUGAACUGCUUAUGCGGGAUCAUACAAAAGAAUGUUAAACAACAUCAAUUAAUUUAAUGAUUGUAAUUAAGAUAUUUGGAUGGUUGUAAUUUAAUGUACUUUACCUC